AAAACUUUGCAAGAACCACAAAAUUUUGGUUCAUGCUCAUAUAGGAUUUCUUGCACCCUUAGUACACCAUUAGGGAGUCUAAUAUUGACCACCCUAACAAGCUCCUUCGAUGCGUCAACCUCUACAAGAGCUCUAGCAUAAGAGACCCUUUCCCUACUUGCCGUUAUGUUAUCCGUGGAGAUAGGUUUACCAACUUUGGAGAC
rnacentral:lncRNA from 1 species